GAUGAACGCUGGCGGCAUGCCUUACACAUGCAAGUCGAACGGCAGCGCGGGGCAACCUGGCGGCGAGUGGCGAACGGGUGAGUAAUAUAUCGGAACGUGCCCUGGAGUGGGGGAUAACGCAGCGAAAGUUGCGCUAAUACCGCAUACGAUCUAAGGAUGAAAGGCAGGGGGACCGCAAGGCCUUGUGCUCCUGGAGCGGCCGAUAUCUGAUUAGCUAGUUGGUGGGUAAAGGCCUACCAAGGCAUCGAUCAGUAGCUGGUCUGAGAGGACGACCAGCCACACUGGAACUGAGACACGGUCCAGACUCCUACGGGAGGCAGCAGUGGGGAAUUUUGGACAAUGGGCGCAAGCCUGAUCCAGCAAUGCCGCGUGCAGGAUGAAGGCC
rnacentral:rRNA from 1 species